AUUUAUUAGGUUGGUGCAAAAGUCAUUGUGGUUUUUGCCAUUACUUUUAACAGCAAAAACCGCAAUGACUUUUGCACCAACCUAAUAGA
ensembl:miRNA